CCUACGGGUGGCAGCAGUGAGGAAUAUUGGUCAAUGGGCGCGAGCCUGAACCAGCCAAGUCGCGUGAGGGAAGACGGUCCUAUGGAUUGUAAACCUCUUUUGUCGGGGAGCAAAUGACGCCACGCGUGCCGUUCCGAGAGUACCCGACGAAAAAGCAUCGGGAAACUCCGUGCCAGCAGCCGCGGUAAUACGGAGGAUGCGCGCGUUAUCCGGAUUUAUUGGGUUUAAAGGGUGCGCAGGCGGAAGAUCGAGUCAGCGGUAAAAGUGAGAGGCACAACCGCUUCGAGCCGUUAAAACUGGUUUGUUUGGGGGAGGGAGAGGAAUGCGGAUUGCGGGGGGUGGCGGUGAA
rnacentral:rRNA from 1 species